rnacentral:rRNA from 1 species
UACGGAGGGGGCGAGCGUUAUUCGGAAUUAUUGGGCGUAAAGGGCGCGUAGGCGGCUGGGCAAGUCAAAGGUGAAAUCCCUCGGCUCAACUGAGGAACUGCCUUUGAAACUGCCUGGCUUGAGGCCGGGAGGGGGUAGCGGAAUUCCCAGUGUAGCGGUGAAAUGCGUAGAUAUCUGGAGAAACACCGGUGGCGAAGGCGGCAUCCUGGACCAAUUCUGACGCUGAGGAGCGAAAGCCAGGGGAGCAAACGGG